rnacentral:rRNA from 1 species
UACGUAGGGUGCAGGCGUUAAUCGGAAUUACUGGGCGUAAAGCGUGCGCAGGCGGUCUUUUAAGUCAGAUGUGAAAUCCCCGGGCUUAACCUGGGAACUGCGUUUGAAACUGGAAGGCUAGAGUGUGGCAGAGGGGGGUGGAAUUCCACGUGUAGCAGUGAAAUGCGUAGAUAUGUGGAGGAACACCGAUGGCGAAGGCAGCCCCCUGAGCUAACACUGACGCUCAUGCACGAAAGCGUGGGGAGCAAACAGG